UACAGAGGUCCCAAGCGUUGUUCGGAUUCAUUGGGCGUAAAGGGCGCGUAGGCGGUCGUGACAAGUCACUUGUGAAAUCUCCGGGCUUAACUCGGAACGGUCAAGUGAUACUGUCGGACUAGAGUACAGAAGGGGCAACUGGAAUUCUCGGUGUAGCGGUGAAAUGCGUAGAUAUCGAGAGGAACACCUGCGGCGAAGGCGGGUUGCUGGGCUGAUACUGACGCUGAGGCGCGAAAGCCAGGGGAGCAAACGGG
rnacentral:rRNA from 1 species